CAAACAAAAUUUCUUGAUUCUCCGGAAGAACCCUGUCCCUUUCUUUACUGCUCCAGAAACCUAAUUAAGUCUUAUCCCCCUUUCUGUUCCUUAUCCAAAAACCAAACUCACUCUCCCUUUCAAUUCCUUCUCUAAAAACCUAUCUCAUGCGUCAUUUUCCUUUCUUCUCCGGUUAAUUUAGGCUUCCAAAAAUUCCAUCUUGCAGAGAACAAGGUGAAAAAUUAAAAUAACAGGUAUGUUGAUUUUCAUUAUUUGAUACAAAUGGAGACAAGAACGAUGCCAUGCGGUAGUUAACCCACAUGUAAUCCAAAAAAGGGUAUGUAAAAUUAUUUGCUUUUAGGCCUAAAGACUUCAGCUUGUAAUCCAAUUAUACACAAAAAUCAUACUUUUUCCAUGUGGUAGUUAACCCACGAAGCAUGACAUUGAAGGCAUAAAUAUUGGGUUUGGUGAGUUGAUUAAAAACAAGGGAUGCUUAGGCCAAGUCUUUGAGGUCAAUGAUUUUGGAAAGAAGGAAACUGGGUUUUGGUACUGAACAAAUAAGCAUUUGUGUGUGGAUUUGUUUUAAUAGGUUUUUGAAUUUGCAUUGUUUUAUCAGAGACAAAAGCUUUUCAUUCAGGGUUUUUUCUUGCAACACCAGUUUGAUUUCUUGCAUUUUCUCAUCUAGUCACCAAUUAACAUUUGACAGAUCAUAUGAAACUUUACCAAGAAGUCAGGGAACAUCUCAAAUCUUCUGCUUAACUUUUUGAAUGAUGCAUUCUGAGUGUCCCUAGUUCUCAAGGCCAUGAUUAUAGCAUAGAAUUUCAAUUUAUUUAUUUUUGCUGCUGGAAUGGGGUUUAGCUAUGAUCAGCAGCUAAGAGACGAUCCACACAGGGUCCCAAUCAGUUCAAAGAGAUUUGGAGCAGGGUUGUCAGUUGAAUGAGGCAGAAGUAUGGAAAGCUAACCAAAGAUUGGAACUUGCCUGAAUCUAUCAUAUAUCUUUUUUCAUCUGUUUUGUUAUGGCAUUGCUGAGUCGUAUCAUAUGUUGAUUUUUUGGGUGGGCAAGGAUAUGGCAGUGUUGGGAUUCCCUGGUCAAGAAUGGCUUCCUUGUGAUUUUUGGAUUAUGCAUUUUAGAAACCAGAAGCUUUGCUAAACAAAGCAGUUUCGACAGUUUUAGGUUUAUGAAUACUGUGAAAUGUAGAUAACUUUUUGAUGCGUUUUUAAAUUUAUUUUUAUUUGACUUA